GCAAUCGACCAUAGGAUUUUGUGGAAAACAGGACUUCCCGUUCGCUCAGUCAAUACUUAAGCCACAUGCCGACGAGUCAGUAGCAAAGUUGGUGACAAUUUGCGAAUCCUCGUUGUUGAUUGUU
rnacentral:rRNA from 1 species